GCCUGUGUGGCACAAUGGGUCAGUGCAUCUCGCUGUUAACCAGAAGGUGGUUCAAAACCCACCCAGGGGUA